AGCAGCCGCGGUAAUUCCAGCUCCAAUAGCGUAUAUUAAAGUUGUUGCAGUUAAAAAGCUCGUAGUUGAAUUUCGGGAUCAAAGGAUCGGUCAUGCCUUGGUAUGUACUGGUUUUAUUGGUUCUCACCUUCUAAAGAACCAUAAUGUCAUUCAUUUGAUGUUAUGGGGAAUUAGGACUGUUACCUUGAAAAAUUAGAGUGUUUAAAGCAGGCUUACGCUUGAAUACAUUAGCAUGGAAUAAUGAAAUAGGACAUCAGAUUCUAUUUUGUUGGUUUCUAGGAUCGAUGUAAUGAUUAAUAGGGAUAGUUGGGGGCAUUAGUAUUCAAUUGUCAGAGGUGAAAUUCUUGGAUUUAUUGAAGACUGACUACUGCGAAAGCAUUUGCCAAGGAUGUUUUCAUUAAUCAAGAACGAAAGUUAGGGGAUCGAAGACGAUCAGAUACCGUCGUAGUCUUAACCAUAAACUAUGCCGACUAGGGAUCGGAUGAUGUUAAUUUUAUAAUGACU
rnacentral:misc_RNA from 1 species